rnacentral:rRNA from 1 species
GACGAACGCUGGCGGCGUGCUUAACACAUGCAAGUCGAACGGAAAGGCCCUGCUUUUGUGGGGUGCUCGAGUGGCGAACGGGUGAGUAACACGUGAGUAACCUGCCCUUGACUUUGGGAUAACUUCAGGAAACUGGGGCUAAUACCGGAUAGGAGCUCCUGCUGCAUGGUGGGGGUUGGAAAGUUUCGGCGGUUGGGGAUGGACUCGCGGCUUAUCAGCUUGUUGGUGGGGUAGUGGCUUACCAAGGCUUUGACGGGUAGCCGGCCUGAGAGGGUGACCGGCCACAUUGGGACUGAGAUACGGCCCAGACUCCUACGGGAGGCAGCAGUGGGGAAUAUUGCACAAUGGGCGGAAGCCUGAUGCAGCAACGCCGCGUGCGGGAUGACGGCCUUCGGGUUGUAAACCGCUUUCGCCUGUGACGAAGCGUGAGUGACGGUAAUGGGUAAAGAAGCACCGGCUAACUACGUGCCAGCAGCCGCGGUGAUACGUAGGGUGCGAGCGUUGUCCGGAUUUAUUGGGCGUAAAGGGCUCGUAGGUGGUUGAUCGCGUCGGAAGUGUAAUCUUGGGGCUUAACCCUGAGCGUGCUUUCGAUACGGGUUGACUUGAGGAAGGUAGGGGAGAAUGGAAUUCCUGGUGGAGCGGUGGAAUGCGCAGAUAUCAGGAGGAACACCAGUGGCGAAGGCGGUUCUCUGGGCCUUUCCUGACGCUGAGGAGCGAAAGCGUGGGGAGCGAACAGGCUUAGAUACCCUGGUAGUCCACGCUGUAAACGGUGGGUACUAGGUGUGGGGUCCAUUCCACGGGUUCCGUGCCGUAGCUAACGCUUUAAGUACCCCGCCUGGGGAGUACGGCCGCAAGGCUAAAACUCAAAGGAAUUGACGGGGCCCCGCACAAGCGGCGGAGCAUGCGGAUUAAUUCGAUGCAACGCGUAGAACCUUACCUGGGUUUGACAUGGAUCGGGAGUGCUCAGAGAUGGGUGUGCCUCUUUUGGGGUCGGUUCACAGGUGGUGCAUGGCUGUCGUCAGCUCGUGUCGUGAGAUGUUGGGUUAAGUCCCGCAACGAGCGCAACCCUUGUUCACUGUUGCCAGCACGUUAUGGUGGGGACUCAGUGGAGACCGCCGGGGUCAACUCGGAGGAAGGUGGGGAUGACGUCAAGUCAUCAUGCCCCUUAUGUCCAGGGCUUCACGCAUGCUACAAUGGCUGGUACAGAGAGUGGCGAGCCUGUGAGGGUGAGCGAAUCUCGGAAAGCCGGUCUCAGUUCGGAUUGGGGUCUGCAACUCGACCUCAUGAAGUCGGAGUCGCUAGUAAUCGUAGAUCAGCAACGCUGCGGUGAAUACGUUCCCGGG